UAACGUUAGCAUCUUUCAUUUAGCUAACGUUAGCUUCUGUAUUCUGUAUUCAGUAAUGUUAAUAAUCCUAGCUAGUUUAAGGUAACUGAAAGACCCAAAGUCAUACUUUUGUACAAAGAAAGAUAUCGUGUUAUAGUAUUACUCUGGUAAAAGUGAAAGUCACCUAAAUAAAUAGUACUUGGGUAAAAGUCUCAAAGUAUCUGAUGUUGGCUGUACUUAAAAAUCAAGUACAAGUAAAUUAUUUACUUGUGUCAAUACACUGUAUAGGUUACUGUAAACUGACUUUAUCAGCUUAUUUUCUGCUAUGAUGUUUAGUUUUGGAUUCUGUUUAAAUCUAAUGGCUGAUUGAAUAAAUAGAUUUUUAAAUGUGCUAACCUGGCUCUGAUUCAUAUAGAAAUCGUUAUAUGUAUAUAUUCGCUGCUACCAACCAUGUAUAUUUGUUUUUUCAGGAAAAAGAGUGAUGAUCCUCUACACCCUGACUAUGUGCCGAGUUUAUUCAGCUUCACCUUACUGCUGAUCGGACUCGGGCUGUCAACCACCUGGAGAGAUAUGUGCGAACUCAAAACGUUUCUGGCAAAGACAUGAUGGGCUAACUGCAACAGACAGAAGUACUGCGUCAGAGCAAGAAUUACAGGUACAAACUGAAACUGGAGUCCAAGGCACUGAGGUCCAGACAGAGGAGACACACAAUGACAUUGCCUCAUUAUAUAAACAAAUUGAAUCUUUAAACAUCGAAUGUCAAUCACUGAGAGAUAAAAUUCAUGGACUAGAAAGUGAGUUGAAGCAUCGUACCCUUGACCCUUCACAAUUUGAUGACAGCAAAAUGAAAUUUUUCACAGGACUUCCCAAUUUACAGACUUUCAUGUUAUUGUUUAGCUUUGUGUUGUCAGUUUUCCUGCCACUCCAAAGCAGUCCCUCAAGCCUGCUCAGGAACUACUUCUUACACUGAUGAAGCUGCGCCUCAAUCUGUCAGAGGAAUUUUUAGGUUACCUCUUUGGGAUUCCCAGUCAACAGUAUCCAGAGUCUUUCACCGUUGGAUACAUGUUAUGGCAAGCAGGCUUCAUCCUCUGAUAAUGUGGCCAGAGAAGACCUUAGACGCAGCUUACCAAUGUGUUUUCGUACAUUUUUAAGAACUGUGUAAGCAUAAUCGACUGCUUUGAAGUGUUCAUAGGCGUCCUUCUGACUUAAAGCUCGAGCUCAAACUUGGAGCAACUACAAACAACACAACACUAUAAAAUUUCUCAUUUCAAUCACCCCACAAGGAAGCAUCUCUUUCUGUCCAAGGCCUGGGGUGGACGUGUUACAGACAAACACCUGACAGAACACAGUGGGUUCCUUGACAAGCUCCUACCAGGGGACUUGGUACUGGCUGACCGAGGUUUCACAAUUGAGGAUAGUGUUGGCCUAUUUUGCGCAGAAUUAAUACGCCUCCAUUCACACGAGGGAAGAAACAGCUUAGCCGAAAGAAAUUGAAUCGGCUCGUGAAAUUUCUCGUGUGAGAAUCCACGUCGAAGAGUGAUUGGAAUGUUGAGGCAGAAAUACACAAUUCUGGGCUCAACGCUGCCUGUAAGUCUCAUUAGAGUGGGCAAAAUGGCAAAGUGGAGGACAGCCUUAUAGAUAGAUUGUGUUAACAUGCUGUGCUUUAUGCAAUAUGUGUGAGUCCAUAGUGCCUUCAGAUUGAGGUGAACAUUAGUUCAAACCUUUUGUCUUAAUAGUUGGUAUCAAUAUGUAUUGGAUGAUAAGUGUAAAUAUUAAUUUUAAAACUUUUGCGUGAUUUUCAUUGAUAAGCCCGUAAGGGUUACAUUUUGUAAAUAUUUACUCUGUGAUGUAUCUGUUAUGUAUUUACUCUAAGUUAUUUCACAGUAACAUAUGAAGUACGUUUAUAUUCAUGUUUAUGUGUUAUCAUAUUUAGUAUGUAUAUAUGUUAUUGUUUAGUAUACCUAUAUACUUUUAUACUGUUAUUGUUUUGUAUACCUAUAAAGGAGAAUAGGCUUUUAAAGUUUAUUAUUUAUUUAUUGAAAAUAAUUGUAAUAGUUUUGACACAACUGUCAGGUCAGUCUAGAUAUGCUAAUAUGUCCUUUCCAACCUUAGACAUGUAAACAGUGUGUGGAAAUAACCCCAGACUUACAGUCUAAAUAGUUACAUUUUAUAUACAAUGAUAGGACUAAUAAGAAAAGAUUACGCCAAAAAUGCUGUAAAAACUUUGGUUUUGAAUAAUAAUGUAACAUAUUUACAAAUGUGAAAUGUGUACCAACUGCUCCUUUGAAUGGGAGGCGGAAACAGUUCCAAGCAUCAGUCAGUAAUUUGGGGCUUUUCAAAAUGUUCAGUAGUUCCCCCAUCAUAAAAUAACUUUAUAUAUCAUCUUUUUCUGUAGGCAAGUGUCACUUACGUAUAAAUAUGUACAAGUUAAGUGCAAGCUGUAACAUCAUCCCUAAGGUGAAGGGCUUAACACAAUAACAGUCCUACAGAUGAGAUGUUGCCCAGGAUUCAGUACUGCAUUUUUGGUGAACCAUUUUCCCAAUAAUUCUGGCGCACUCCAUACUUGAAAACGUUGUGGCCUUCAUAACAUGUCUUUCAAAAUUUACAUCUGGGGUUAUUCUUUCAAUAUACAAUUCUGAAGGCGUCCACACACAAAAGUCACAGUACAGAGAUUUUGUGACAUGAAUCUGGCACUGCACUUGAAAGUAGUAGUUGUGCUGUCUGUUAAGUGUCAGCGUCACAUCUGAGGAUGAAGAUGUGACCAAGGGAAGUCUUUUCUUUUGACAGUUCAAGCAGUGUCUUGUUUUUGCCAAGUAGGGACAUUUGAUUUCCAGGCAGCCUGAGCCACAACAGUCCAAGACACCUUCCCAUCCGGGGGCGCCUAGGUGAGGGUAAUGUGAGGAAAUAUUGAGUCCAGUGGUGGUCACAUCAAAAUUGACAUGUCUUGAUGACAUGGUUUCAGUGUAUUUCUCCUUUGCCUUGUUUUCCUGAUGAAUGCCCCACCUGAAAAUAUUUGAGGAAAACAUGUUACUUUUAAAUUAGGGCAUACAUAUACCA
rnacentral:lncRNA from 1 species